rnacentral:lncRNA from 1 species
UAAAUUGGCUUUGCGUGAUUCACAUUGAAUCGGAAUGCUGAGUCCUUUAUCGCUCCAACAGGUUGUUGAGGGUUGAUGGCCCGCAGGUGCCAGUCGCUACCAUGAUGGUGCAUCGCUGGCAAUAUCGCACCAUUCAAGACUCUUUGAUUCCUAUUCAGAACAUGAUUCAUCAACUGGAGAGCCAGGGUGUGAUCAGUAAGACUCACUCACCUUUUAACAGCCCAGUUUGGCCAGUGCGUAAGUCUAGUGACGAGUAGAAACUAACAGUAGACUAUCAUGACCUGAAUGAAGUUACGCCACCACUGAAUGCUGCUGUGCCUGACAUGUUAGAACUGCAAUAUGAACUGGAGUCAAAGGCAGCUCAGUGGUAUGCCACAGCUGACAUUGCUAACGCGUUUUUCUCUAUUCCUUUAGCAGCAGAAUGCAGGCCACAGGUUGCUUUCACCUGGAGGGGCAUCCAGUACAUGUGGAAUCGCUUGCCCCAGGGGUGGAAACACAGCCCUACCAUCUGCCAUAGACUGAUCCAAACCAAGCUGGAACAAGAUGGAUCCUGCUGUCUUGUAGGAAAACAUUGGAGGUGGAAAGCCACUGCAUGGAGUCCCACACGAUGAGUCGCAGAAGCCACUGAAGGACAAGGUUACACCUGAAUGUGAAACACGCACUGAAAUCAAACAAGCAAAAAGGUUAAAGCCUGUGUGAUAUGAGGGGCAAUGGUUAAAAUGUAAGCGUGGAGAGGCUUGGCAGAUUGAUUGUAUUACACUUCCACAAACCUGUCAAGGAGAUCUCUUGAUUGAAUCGCCUUAAUGUGGAUAAAGUCAUGGAUAUAGACAGAAGAAGCCUGAGAUGAGCUUGACAACGAGACAAAUGCAUAAGACAUGUAAGGAGGGACUGGAAGAAUAGAAGUGUAGUAUAAAGCAGAGAAAGCAGAAAGAAGCCAGCAGAAGAGGGAAAUGUGCGUCUGAGUUUCAAGGAGGAGUUGUGCAAGAGGAGCAGCAAGUCAGAAAGGAAAGGACAGGAACU